rnacentral:lncRNA from 1 species
GCGGCUGCGGCCGCGGGGCUGAGGCUCCCCAGCCCCGCCAGCCGGAGCGCUUGGAAGUAGAGGAAAGGUCUUGACAGGGUGGCUGGACCCGUGGCAGACUCAAAUCCAGGCCAACUGUCUGAGGUGUUGGAACAGAAGGAGAUCCAUUCCUGUUGGUGACAACACUGUGGCCCUGUUCUGGGAUGAGCAAGGUAUAAAGGUUUCCCCCAAGAAAGAGUGGCUGAAUCCUUGCAUCUUGUGGCAGCUGGUGUGCCCAGCACUGAGUCCAGAGGAGCUGAAGCCAGCCUGGCCUUUCUCAUGAGCAGCGCCCACCUGUUCUGAGGUCCUGCUGCAGUGGCCCUGUGAGGUGAGUAAUGGAUUACAGGGC